AUUCACUUUCCCUCUCUUUUCUUUCCCUCAAUUUCAUUUUUGGCACAUCCAACAUAUCAAUGAUCCCUCUUAUCCUCUAUAAUCAAUGGUGAUAAAGAAUGACGGUAACUUUUUCAUUUAUGGUUGUAGGAGUUAAGUUAUUUUGACAAUUUUAUUUCAUUUUUCUUUUCUCGCCUUUUGGUUAAUUUUUUCUUCUCUAUUUUUUGAUUUCUUUUUCUUUUCAUACUCAUUAUUGUUUUAUUUGUAUAUAAUGAUUAGCCUUUUGUACUUCCUCAAUUGUUAGUAAAAAUAUUCUAAUUUGAUUUUGUGAUUUAAUGUUGCUUUGUGAUAUGCCCACCAGAUGCUCGUUGAAAUUUCCAACUGGCAGAAGCCUUUUUCUUGAAAAAGCUUGACAAGUGAUAAAGAUGGGUUUAAGAAUUUAUUGCAUUCAGGGAGUUUAAGGAUUUCAUUACUUGAGAAGGACCCUGCAAAGAGGCGGACCAUUACGCCGCUAUUGUUCCAUUGCUAUAUCUUUCAAUAUGGUCCUUUGAUCAAUAAUGGUGGCAGGAGCGAUCAAGUGCAUCAGUCUAAUCUGUUCUUCCUUUAUCUUGUCAUUUUUCAUCUUCUUGAUUGUUGCUUUUGGAUAAUUGUUAAACUUAUUAAUUUUGUGGGUUGGAUUCUGGUUUACAAUUCUGG
rnacentral:lncRNA from 1 species